rnacentral:rRNA from 1 species
AUCAGCCACACUGGAACUGAGACACGGUCCAGACUCCUACGGGAGGCAGCAGUGGGGAAUAUUGGACAAUGGGCGCAAGCCUGAUCCAGCCAUGCCGCGUGUGUGAAGAAGGCCUUMKGGUUGUAAAGCACUUUMAGCGAGGAGGAAGGSUWCKUUAGWUAAUASCUWGMGAUAKUKGACGUUACUCGCAGAAKAAGCACCGGCUAACUCUGUGCCAGCAGCCGCGGUAAUACAGAGGGUGCAAGCGUUAAUCGGAAUUACUGGGCGUAAAGCGCACGUAGGCGGUUUUUUAAGUCAGAUGUGAAAGCCCCGGGCUCAACCUGGGAAUUGCAUUUGAAACUGGAAAACUAGAGUGUGUGAGAGGGGGGUAGAAUUCCAAGUGUAGCGGUGAAAUGCGUAGAGAUUUGGAGGAAUACCAGUGGCGAAGGCGGCCCCCUGGCACAACACUGACGCUCAGGUGCGAAAGCGUGGGGAGCAAACAGGAUUAGAUACCCUGGUAGUCCACGCCGUAAACGAUGUCUACUAGCUGUUCGUGGUCUUGUACCGUGAGUAGCGCAGCUAACGCRWUAAGUAGACCGCCUGGGGAGUACGGUCGCAAGAUUAAAACUCAAAUGAAUUGACGGGGGCCCGCACA